CUUGCCCUGAAUGAAGGCCAGCAGCUUCCUGACACUGUUGGUUUCUAACUGGAGCCUAAAGAGAUGUCUUUCUAUGGUCUACUGGCCAUUUCAGAACUUGGGCGGUGAAAUGGUCAAUUCAUUAAAAAGAAACAGCU
ensembl:snoRNA